GACGAACGCUGGCGGCGUGCCUAAUACAUGCAAGUUGAGCGCUGAAGGUUGGUACUUGUACCAACUGGAUGAGCAGCGAACGGGUGAGUAACGCGUGGGGAAUCUGCCUUUGAGCGGGGGACAACAUUUGGAAACGAAUGCUAAUACCGCAUAAAAACUUUAAAAACAAGUUUUAAGUUUGAAAGAUGCAAUUGCAUCACUCAAAGAUGAUCCCGCGUUGUAUUAGCUAGUUGGUGAGGUAAAGGCUCACCAAGGCGAUGAUACAUAGCCGACCUGAGAGGGUGAUCGGCCACAUUGGGACUGAGACACGGCCCAAACUCCUACGGGAGGCAGCAGUAGGGAAUCUUCGGCAAUGGACGAAAGUCUGACCGAGCAACGCCGCGUGAGUGAAGAAGGUUUUCGGAUCGUAAAACUCUGUUGGUAGAGAAGAACGUUGGUGAGAGUGGAAAGCUCAUCAAGUGACGGUAACUACCCAGAAAGGGACGGCUAACUACGUG
rnacentral:rRNA from 1 species